CCCUUAGAUGUCCGGGGCCGCACGCGCGCUACAAUGGAUGAAUCAACGCGUCAUCCUGGCCCGAAAGGGUUGGGGAACCGCUGAACCUCAUCCGUGGUUGGGAUUGGGGUUUGUAAUUAUUCCCCAUGAACUAGGAAUUCCCAGUAAGCGCGAGUCAUAAGCUCGCGUUGAUUACGUCCCUGCCCUUUGUACACACCGCCUGUCGCUACUACCGAUUGGAUGGUUUAGUGAGAUCCUCGGAUUGGUCACGGCACGGUGGCAACACUGCGUCGGUGUGCCGAGAAGACGAUCAAACUUGAUCAUCUAGAGGAAGUAAAAGUCGUAACA
rnacentral:rRNA from 1 species